GCCUGGGUGGCUCAGUCGGUUGAGCGUCUGACUUUAGCUCAGGUCACGAUCUCGCGGUCCUCGAGUUCGAGCCCCGCGUCGGGCU
rfam:Felis catus isolate Cinnamon breed Abyssinian chromosome B3, whole genome shotgun sequence.